rnacentral:lncRNA from 1 species
AUAAGAUCUCUCUGCCCUUCUAUAAGCGACUAUCUUAUCCCGUUCCUUUAUCUUUCUUGAUUUCACUGUCUCCUUCCUGAUCUUACUAGCCUAGGUAAAGAACUAAUCUAUAAUGAAGGAAAGCCUAGCUUGAAGAUUCGUAAGCUCACCCUUAGUAUAAGAACUAAGAAAUCACCAUCCAUUAGCGCUUUCGCUUAGUCAAGGG